UACAGAGGUCCCAAGCGUUGUUCGGAAUCACUGGGCGUAAAGGGUGCGUAGGCGGCUUGGUAGGUCUGGUGUGAAAGCCCCGGGCUCAGCCCGGGAAGGGCACUAGAAACUGCCAAGCUAGAGUGCCGGAGGGGAGAGUGGAAUUCCUGGUGUAGCGGUGAAAUGCGUAGAGAUCAGGAGGAAUACCGGUGGCGAAAGCGACUCUCUGGACGGCAACUGACGCUGAGGCACGAAAGCGUGGGGAGCAAACAGG
rnacentral:rRNA from 1 species